GACGAACCGUGCGAACGUUAUUCGGAAUCACUGGGCUUAAAGGGUGCGUAGGCGGGUUGCCAAGUCUGUGGUGAAAUCCUCCGGCUUAACCGGAGAACUGCCGUGGAUACUGGCGACCUCGAGGGGGGGGUAGGGCUUGCGGAACUGUGCGUGGAGCGGUGAAAUGCGUUGAUAUGCACAGGAACUCCGGUGGCGAAGGCGGCGAGCUGGACCCCAUCUGACGCUGAGGCACGAAGGCCAGGGGAGCAAACGGG
rnacentral:rRNA from 1 species